ACCGAAUAGAUACCCCGGUAGUCCACGCCGUAAACGAUGAAUACUAGGUGUAGGGGUUGUCAUGACCUCUGUGCCGCCGCUAAACGCAUUAAGUAUUCCGCCUGGGGAGUACGGUCGCAAGAUUAAAACUCAAAGGAAUUGACGGGGGCCCGCACAAGCAGCGGAGCAUGUGGUUUAAAUUCGAAGCAACGCGAAGAACCUUACCUAGACUUGACAUCUCCUGCAUUACCCUUAAUCGGGGAAGUUCCUUCGGGAACAGGAAGACAGGUGGUGCAUGGUUGUCGUCAGCUCGUGUCGUGAGAUGUUGGGUUAAGUCCCGCAACGAGCGCAACCCUUAUUGUUAGUUGCUACCAUUUAGUUGAGCACUCUAGCGAGACUGCCCGGGUUAACCGGGAGGAAGGUGGGGAUGACGUCAAAUCAUCAUGCCCCUUAUGUCUAGGGCUACACACGUGCUACAAUGGCAAGUACAAAGAGAAGCAAGACCGCGAGGUGGAGCAAAACUCAAAAACUUGUCUCAGUUCGGAUUGUAGGCUGAAACUCGCCUAC
rnacentral:rRNA from 1 species